rnacentral:rRNA from 1 species
AUUGAACGCUGGCGGCAGGCCUAACACAUGCAAGUCGAGCGGAUGACGGGAGCUUGCUCCCGGAUUCGGCGGCGGACGGGUGAGUAAUGCCCAGGAAUCUGCCUGGUAGUGGGGGACAACGUUUCGAAAGGAACGCUAAUACCGCAUACGUCCUACGGGAGAAAGCAGGGGACCUUCGGGCCUUGCGCUAUCAGAUGAGCCUAGGUCGGAUUAGCUAGUUGGUGAGGUAAUGGCUCACCAAGGCGAAGAUCCGUAACUGGUCUGAGAGGAUGCUCAGUCACACUGGAACUGAGACACGGUCCAGACUCCUACGGGAGGCAGCAGUGGGGAAUAUUGGACAAUGGGCGAAAGCCUGAUCCAGCCAUGCCGCGUGUGUGAAGAAGGUCUUCGGAUUGUAAAGCACUUUAAGUUGGGAGGAAGGGCAGUAAGCGAAUACCUUGCUGUUUUGACGUUACCGACAGAAUAAGCACCGGCUAACUCUGUGCCAGCCGCCGCAGUAACAC